rnacentral:rRNA from 1 species
CGUGCAGCCGGAGAGACAAGUCAGAUGUGAAAUCCGCGGGCUUAACCCGCGAACUGCAUUUGAAACUGUUUCCCUUGAGUAUCGGAGAGGUAAUCGGAAUUCCUAGUGUAGCGGUGAAAUGCGUAGAUAUUAGGAAGAACACCAGUGGCGAAGGCGGAUUAUUGGACGACAACUGACGGUGAGGCGCGAAAGCGUGGGGAGCAAACA